UUAAGCGACUAAGCGUACACGGUGGAUGCCCUGGCAGUCAGAGGCGAUGAAGGACGUGCUAAUCUGCGAAAAGCGUCGGUAAGGUGAUAUGAACCGUUAUAACCGGCGAUGUCCGAAUGGGGAAACCCAGUGCAAUUCGUUGCACUAUCGUUAACUGAAUACAUAGGUUAACGAGGCGAACCGGGGGAACUGAAACAUCUAAGUACCCCGAGGAAAAGAAAUCAACCGAGAUUCCCCCAGUAGCGGCGAGCGAACGGGGAGCAGCCCAGAGUCUGAAUCAGCUUGUGUGUUAGUGGAACGGUCUGGAAAGUCCGACGGUACAGGGUGAUAGUCCCGUACACCAAAAUGCACAGGUUGUGAACUCGAAGAGUAGGGCGGGACACGUGGUAUCCUGUCUGAAUAUGGGGGGACCAUCCUCCAAGGCUAAAUACUCCUGACUGACCGAUAGUGAACCAGUACCGUGAGGGAAAGGCGAAAAGAACCCCGGCGAGGGGAGUGAAAAAGAACCUGAAACCGUGUACGUACAAGCAGUGGGAGCACCUUCGGGUGUGACUGCGUACCUUUUGUAUAAUGGGUCAGCGACUUAUAUUCUGUAGCAAGGUUAACCGUAUAGGGGAGCCGCAGGGAAACCGAGUCUUAACUGGGCGUUAAGUUGCAGGGUAUAGACCCGAAACCCGGUGAUCUAGCCAUGGGCAGGUUGAAGGUUGGGUAACACUAACUGGAGGACCGAACCGACUAAUGUUGAAAAAUUAGCGGAUGACUUGUGGCUGGGGGUGAAAGGCCAAUCAAACCGGGAGAUAGCUGGUUCUCCCCGAAAGCUAUUUAGGUAGCGCCUCGUGAACUCAUCUUCGGGGGUAGAGCACUGUUUCGGCUAGGGGGUCAUCCCGACUUACCAACCCGAUGCAAACUACGAAUACCGAAGAAUGUUAUCACGGGAGACACACGGCGGGUGCUAACGUCCGUCGUGAAGAGGGAAACAACCCAGACCGCCAGCUAAGGUCCCAAAGUCAUGGUUAAGUGGGAAACGAUGUGGGAAGGCACAGACAGCCAGGAUGUUGGCUUAGAAGCAGCCAUCAUUUAAAGAAAGCGUAAUAGCUCACUGGUCGAGUCGGCCUGCGCGGAAGAUGUAACGGGGCUAAACCAUGCACCGAAGCUGCGGCAGCGACACUAUGUGUUGUUGGGUAGGGGAGCGUUCUGUAAGCCUGCGAAGGUGUGCUGUGAGGGUUGCUGGAGGUAUCAGAAGUGCGAAUGCUGACAUAAGUAACGAUAAAGCGGGUGAAAAGCCCGCUCGCCGGAAGACCAAGGGUUCCUGUCCAACGUUAAUCGGGGCAGGGUGAGUCGACCCCUAAGGCGAGGCCGAAAGGCGUAGUCGAUGGGAAACAGGUUAAUAUUCCUGUACUUGGUGUUACUGCGAAGGGGGGACGGAGAAGGCUAUGUUAGCCGGGCGACGGUUGUCCCGGUUUAAGCAUGUAGGCUGGUUGUCCAGGCAAAUCCGGAUAAUCAAGGCUGAGGUGUGAUGACGAGGCACUACGGUGCUGAAGUAACAAAUGCCCUGCUUCCAGGAAAAGCCUCUAAGCAUCAGGUAACAUUAAAUCGUACCCCAAACCGACACAGGUGGUCAGGUAGAGAAUACCAAGGCGCUUGAGAGAACUCGGGUGAAGGAACUAGGCAAAAUGGUGCCGUAACUUCGGGAGAAGGCACGCUGGUGUGUAGGUGAAGCCCCUGCGGGUGGAGCUGAGACCAGUCGAAGAUACCAGCUGGCUGCAACUGUUUAUUAAAAACACAGCACUGUGCAAACACGAAAGUGGACGUAUACGGUGUGACGCCUGCCCGGUGCCGGAAGGUUAAUUGAUGGGGUUAUCCGUAAGGAGAAGCUCUUGAUCGAAGCCCCGGUAAACGGCGGCCGUAACUAUAACGGUCCUAAGGUAGCGAAAUUCCUUGUCGGGUAAGUUCCGACCUGCACGAAUGGCGUAAUGAUGGCCAGGCUGUCUCCACCCGAGACUCAGUGAAAUUGAACUCGCUGUGAAGAUGCAGUGUACCCGCGGCAAGACGGAAAGACCCCGUGAACCUUUACUAUAGCUUGACACUGAACAUUGAGCCUUGAUGUGUAGGAUAGGUGGGAGGCUUUGAAGCGUGGACGCCAGUCUGCGUGGAGCCAACCUUGAAAUACCACCCUUUAAUGUUUGAUGUUCUAACGUUGGCCCCUUACCGGGGUUGCGGACAGUGUCUGGUGGGUAGUUUGACUGGGGCGGUCUCCUCCUAAAGCGUAACGGAGGAGCACGAAGGUUAGCUAAUCCUGGUCGGACAUCAGGAGGUUAGUGCAAUGGCAUAAGCUAGCUUGACUGCGAGCGUGACGGCGCGAGCAGGUGCGAAAGCAGGUCAUAGUGAUCCGGUGGUUCUGAAUGGAAGGGCCAUCGCUCAACGGAUAAAAGGUACUCCGGGGAUAACAGGCUGAUACCGCCCAAGAGUUCAUAUCGACGGCGGUGUUUGGCACCUCGAUGUCGGCUCAUCACAUCCUGGGGCUGAAGUAGGUCCCAAGGGUAUGGCUGUUCGCCAUUUAAAGUGGUACGCGAGCUGGGUUUAGAACGUCGUGAGACAGUUCGGUCCCUAUCUGCCGUGGGCGCUGGAGAAUUGAGGGGGGCUGCUCCUAGUACGAGAGGACCGGAGUGGACGCAUCACUGGUGUUCGGGUUGUCAUGCCAAUGGCACUGCCCGGUAGCUAAAUGCGGAAGAGAUAAGUGCUGAAAGCAUCUAAGCACGAAACUUGCCCCGAGAUGAGUUCUCCCUGAGACUUUAAGUCUCCUGAAGGAACGUUGAAGACGACGACGUUGAUAGGCCGGGUGUGUAAGCGCAGCGAUGCGUUGAGCUAACCGGUACUAAUGAACCGUGAGGCUUAACCUU
rnacentral:rRNA from 2 species